AAGUAAUCGAUUAUAAAAAAAUUAUUUUUUUGUCUUCGUUUUCUGUGACUAAAUGAUUAAAUAUAUACCAAGAUAUAAUAACAAAAUUAUAAAGCAUCCAAAUAUUCAUUUGGUAUUAGCUACACCAGAUCUAUAACUCCACAUGAAAAUAUAUAAUUAAAAAAUAAAAUAAUUUGUAAAUAUAUUACUAUUUUCAUAAAAAAAUAAUCCAAUACAAAUCAAAUACAAUAAAUUUAUAUGAUAAGAAAUAUGUGAUAUAAAUGAAGGUUCGAAAAACAAAAAAAAAAUAACUAAGGUAAUAAAUAAAAAUAUUAUGUUUAGAAAUGUCAUAUUAAACAAUUUUUAAUAGUGUAUAUUAUAAAUAUAUAUUUUUAUUUACACAAAAAAAUUACUUAUAAAAGUGAAAUAAAUUCUGUGCGGGCACACUGGUCAAGUUAUAGUAUAUGAUUAAAAUUCAUCAUAAGAUUACUUCCUAAUUUUUGACAAAUUUCAGUUCAAUUUAAUAAUUUGAUUUAAAAUUAUGUAACUAAGAAAAACAAAAAGGGGGUUUUGCAGAGUAUUUUUUUAGACACGAGGCUAAAAGGAUGAUAAAGGUAGAGCUGGCCUUCACUAGAACACACAUCCAACAUGUGCCUUCUAGUAUUCACAAUUUAUGUAUUUUAGAGACAUUUAUUUAUGCAAAACAUUGCUAGCUCUAUUGCUAAUGUGACAAUAUUAUCUUCGUAAGAUAUCAUUUUUGUAAUAAAUUAACAGGUUAAUGAGCCAACAAAGUAGCUUGGAGCCCACUCAACGCCAG
rnacentral:lncRNA from 1 species